AUUGAACGCUGGCGGCAGGCCUAACACAUGCAAGUCGAGCGGUAGAGAGGUGCUUGCAUCUCUUGAGAGCGGCGGACGGGUGAGUAAUGCCUAGGAAUCUGCCUAGUGGUGGGGGAUAACGUUCGGAAACGGACGCUAAUACCGCAUACGUCCUACGGGAGAAAGCGGGGGAUCUUCGGACCUCGCGCCAUUAGAUGAGCCUAGGUCGGAUUAGCUAGUUGGUGAGGUAAUGGCUCACCAAGGCGACGAUCCGUAACUGGUCUGAGAGGAUGAUCAGUCACACUGGAACUGAGACACGGUCCAGACUCCUACGGGAGGCAGCAGUGGGGAAUAUUGGACAAUGGGCGCAAGCCUGAUCCAGCAAUGCCGCGUGCAGGAUGAAGGCCUCGGUUGUAACGUAGCUUUG
rnacentral:rRNA from 1 species